rnacentral:rRNA from 1 species
GACGAACGCUGGCGGCGUGCUUAACACAUGCAAGUCGAACGGAAAGGCCCUGCUUUUGUGGGGUGCUCGAGUGGCGAACGGGUGAGUAACACGUGAGUAACCUGUCCUUGACUUUGGGAUAACUUCAGGAAACAGGGGCUAAUACCGGAUAGGAUCUCCUGCUGCAUGGUGGGGGUUGGAAAGUUUCGGCGGUUGGGGAUGGACUCGCGGCUUAUCAGCUUGUUGGUGGGGUAGUGGCUUACCAAGGCUUUGACGGGUAGCCGGCCUGAGAGGGUGAACGGGCACAUUGGGACUGAGAGACGGACCAGACUCCUACGGUAGGCAGUAGUGGAGAAUAUUGCGCAAUGGGGGGAAGCCUGAUGCAGCAACGCCGCGUGCGGGAUGACGGCCUUCGGGUUGAAAACCGCUGUCGCCUGUGACGAAGCGUUAGUGACGGUAAUGGGUAAAGAAGCACCGGCUAACUACGUG